AGAUUCCAUUAAAUAUUCUUAUAAUUUAGCUAUACCAAGAAAAGAGAUGUAUGGAUCUUUCUAAAUUGAUAUAUUAAAUUUAAACUUUCAAUGCAUUUUACAUAUUUAAUUAUGAUUUAUAUACAUUUUAUUUGCAUUUCUGUUCUGAAAAUCAAUCAUUCGCAAAGGGUAAAUAUCUUUCCAAUGUUAACUUGCACUUACUUUACUAGAGAAUUUUUGUAAAAAAUUUAUUAUAAAAAUACAUUUUAAGAUAGAAAUAAACUUCUAACCUUUCAGACACUGAAAAAACAACACAAUGUUAUUCCAUCAUUUUUCUCAUCGAGGCCCGACUAUCCAAAUAGUCGGACAUGUACAUAUUGCUAACAUUUUUGGCCGGUGCUGAUCAUCCGUUUAGCAUGACCUUCUUACAGAAACACAUUAUUUCGCAUCUGUAAAAAUUGUUACAACAUUUUGAUACUAAACAAGAGGGCCAAGAUGGCACUAGAUCGCUCACCUGACCCAGCGAACUCAUCCGAGCAUUUACUAAGACAAGCAUCCUGAACAAGUUUGAUGACAAUUGAGUCAAAACUGUGACCUCUAGGGUGUUAACAAGGUUUUUCCAUAUUUGGGCAGAGUGACCUAGUUUUUGAGGUGACCAAUAUUAGAACUUGACCUAGAAAUCAUCAAAACAAACUUGCGGACCAAUUUCCACGAUAUUUGGAUAACAACAGAAGCCACUAGAGAGUGAACAAGAUUUUUCUAUUCUUAGCUUCUGUGACCUAGUUUUUCAUCAAAGAUAACCCAUGUUUGAACUCCCCCAAGCAAUACACUAGACAAACAUCCUGACCAAGUUUGAUGACAAAUGAGUCAAAAAGAGUCAAAUAUGUUACCAUUUGAGUAUUAACAAGAGUUUCCACAGUUGGACGGUGUGACAUAGUUUUUUAUCCCAGGCAACCAAAAUUAAAGCUUGACCAAGAAAACAUCAAAACAAACUUCCUGAUCAAUUUCCAGGAUAUUUAGAUCAAAACAGUAGCCACUAGAAUGUUAACAAGACCUUUUUUAUUUUUAGCUCCUGUGAACUAGUUUUUGACCCGAGGCAACCCAUAUUCGAACUUGACCUAGAAAUCAUCAAAACAACAUUCCUGACCGAUGUUCAGAAUAUUUGGGUUACAACUGCAACCACUAAUUACGUGUUAUAAUUGUGUUAACAUUUUUUUCUAUUUUUAGCUCCUGUGACCUUUUUUAUGACCUCAGACGACCAAUUUUCGAACUUGAACUAGAAAUCAUUUAAAAACAAUCUCACUGAUCAUUUUCCAGAACAUUUGGAUCAAAACUGCCGCCACUAAAGCGUUAACAAUAAUUUUUUAUUUUUAGCUCAUGUAACCUUGUUUUUGACCCGAGACAACCCAUAUUUGAAUCUAACUGAGAAACCCUCUAUCAAAACAACCUUCCUGACCAUUUACAAGAAUAUUUGCAUCAAAACUGCAGCCACCAGAGUGUUAACAAGAUUUUUUUUAUAUUUUUAUCUCCUGUGACCUAUAUUUUGAUCGGAGGUGACCCAUAUUCGAACCUGACCUGGAAAUCAUCAAAACAACCUUUCUGACCAAUUUUCAGGAUAUUUGGAUCAGAACUGCAGCCACUAGAGUGUUAACAAUUUUCUUCUAUUUUUAGCUCCUGUGACCUAGUUUCUAACCGGAAAUGACAAAUGUUCGAACUCAUCCGAGCAAUUACCUUGACAAGCAUCCUGACAAAGUUUGAGGCAAAAAUGUGACUGAUUGAGGCAAAAAUGUGACAACUAUAGUGUUAACGAACAAAUGUGGACGGACGAUGGACGACGUCCAACGGACGACGAACAUUAACGAUCCUAAAGGCUCACCCUGAGCUAGUUAAGGAAAACUUACAAUGCUACAGGUACCGUAGACAGUUUCAAAUUAUAAUGAUGAAGAAGAAGAAAAAAUGAGGUUGAUUACAGAAAUAAAUUGAUGUGUGUACAACAGACAUUAAAUAAUAUGGAUAGUUGUGUGCCACAGUGAAGCCUUGAAUGUUUUUUUAAAGACUGCAUGUGUGAAUGACAUGAUUUAUCAAAUAACAAUACGGAUACUUAUUUUUGAAAAAACAGAAACAGUUAUCUUAAAUAAAUGUUUUGUUUUAUUUUUUCUCAACUUGGUAGACAUUUAUUAUUUUUUGUAUUUGUGUUACAUGUAUAUAGUAAUGUUUGUUAAGACGACUUUUAAAUCUAGAAAUAAGGUGAAAUGAAUAAAUUAAUUCUAUUA